AUUGAACGCUGGCGGCAUGCCUUACACAUGCAAGUCGAACGGCAUCGCGGGAAAGCUUGCUUUCCUGGCGGCGAGUGGCGAACGGGUGAGUAACACAUCGGAACGUACCGGCUAGUGGGGGAUAACCCGUCGAAAGACGAGCUAAUACCGCAUACGCUCUUCGGAGGAAAGCAGGGGACCUUUGGGCCUUGCGCUAGCCGAGCGGCCGAUGUCCGAUUAGCUAGUUGGUGGGGUAAAGGCCUACCAAGGCGACGAUCGGUAGCGGGUCUGAGAGGACGAUCCGCCACACUGGGACUGAGACACGGCCCAGACUCCUACGGGAGGCAGCAGUGGGGAAUCUUGGACAAUGGGGGCAACCCUGAUCCAGCAAUGCCGCGUGGGUGAAGAAGGCCUUCGGGUUGUAAAGCCCUUUCGGCAGGGAAGAAAUCGGCGGGGCGAAUAACCCUGCUGGAUGACGGUACCUGCAGAAGAAGCACCGGCUAACUACGUG
rnacentral:rRNA from 1 species